UAGGGAAUCUUCGGCAAUGGACGAAAGUCUGACCGAGCAACGCCGCGUGAGUGAAGAAGGUUUUCGGAUCGUAAAACUCUGUUGUUAGAGAAGAACAAGGAUGAGAGUAAAACGUUCAUCCCUUGACGGUAUCUAACCAGAAAGCCACGGCUAACUACGUGCCAGCAGCCGCGGUAAUACGUAGGUGGCAAGCGUUGUCCGGAUUUAUUGGGCGUAAAGCGAGCGCAGGCGGUUUCUUAAGUCUGAUGUGAAAGCCCCCGGCUCAACCGGGGAGGGUCAUUGGAAACUGGGAGACUUGAGUGC
rnacentral:rRNA from 1 species